UGUGACUUAGUUUAGAAAAAAUAUUUGUUUUUGGUGCAAAAGAGUUUAGUUGCAU
rnacentral:tRNA from 2 species